rnacentral:misc_RNA from 1 species
UCGAUAUCGGAAACUCCUUCUCCCUUCAACUUUGUUUGAGGUAGAACACAGAGGCCAAGAGGGACCUUGCAUUUUGACCUCGGUGUUUUUUUUUCGUUUCCCUCUUUCAUCUCUUCUCCUCAGAUUCAUAUUGGGAAGAUGUUUGGUCGUCGCGUUGCCAGCUGCUGCUGCAUUCCCGCUAGCAUGUACGCCCGGCUGCACAUCAGCUCCCCUCAGCAGGCGAGUCGGAUGCUACCGCCAUUAGUCCCUAUCACCACCUCCAUCUGCCGAAGCGUGAGCGGUGGAACCGGGGCAUUUGCAUCCUUGGUCGCUGGAAGCGAAGCUGUGCCGGCAGACUUGACGUCCGCAGGGAACCUGCUUUCCCUUCUCGGUGUGACGCCGCAAGUACUACUCGGCGCAAUCAACGCCAAUACUCUUCUGCUGCGCAUAAUUUCCGAUACAAUGUGCACUUAUAGUGUUAUAUUACUACACACCAUCGGAUGAUGUGGCGGCGAUUCAUCCUCGCCGUCACUCCGCAUAGACACAGGCAGGGUACUGCGGUCGAGGGGAGGGAAGCAAGGCCCCCGCUGAGGAUGAAACGAUCGUCGAAUGUGCAACGCACUUGGCCUCUCUUUUCUCCGCCGAUCCACCGCUCGCCUGCGCGCUUACCACAGGAGUUUGUGGAGAGGUCUCACUCUCCUUCGACAGGUUGUUCACAUCUUUCCUUACCUUUUUUUUUUUCGUUCUCUCCGUGCGUGCGUGUGCCACAGCCUGCGCAUGACAGACAAACGACGUCCGAGGUGCAAACCUGUGUUUUUCUAGCACCCUUUCCGCGGUGCACUCUGUCGUCCUCUCCUUUUUUUCGGAGACGAGAGGCGCCUCUCGCAGUGCUGCAGCUGGCUGGUGGAGGGCCCAUCAAGCCAUCGUUGCGUGGGGGGCUUUCAUGGAAGCAAGUCGUACACAUCUCUUCUGUCCCCUCACCCACAUGUGCGCUCACUGGAUCACGGCACUCUAAGCUGUGCUUCCUUGUCCUUUGAUCAGUAGAAAUGCACCGAUAGCUAGCCCCCUUCUUUUUGUGAGUGCCGUGUGCCGAUUUGGAUUGUGCCUGUGAGGAUGUGUCCUUCCGUGUGCUCGUGUGACUUUUCUGUUCUCUCCUUCUCGCAGAGGGGCGGAUGACGUUUUUUUUUUUGCGUUAUCCGUCGUUGCUUGUGUGGUUUCUGGUACACGGUAGCUGUUCAUCUUGUCGUCACUUGUUUCAUUUUUUUUUUCAGCAGGUACAACUGGUUGUAAGCGUAAGCGAAAGCAACG